UUAAAACAUUUAUUUAAAUACCAGAAUCAAUCAAUCAGAAAGUGUAUAUAAUUAGAAUCCAAAAGGACAACCAGAACUUUCUGUGCUCAUUCGAAAACGAAAAUUACCUCGAGUUGACAAAAAAUAUAGGAAGGCAGCGAGUGCGAUGGUAGAUCUAAAAACCUAGAAUUACAACGACGACGUUUUGAAGCUUCCAAGAUAUGAUGUAUGUUCAACCCCGCACAGACUGAUGCCUGAAAUAUGAUUCAUAGAAGAAGAAAAUUCAAAGAACGAAUGGAAAUAAUUCAAAAGGUAAUUUUCACAAAACGUCCCUCCCUUCUAAUGUUGUGCAAAACGUCCCUAUCUUUUAUUUUUGACAUUU
rnacentral:lncRNA from 1 species